AACGUAGGACGCAAGCGUUAUCCGGAAUUACUGGGCGUAAAGCGCGUGUAGGUGGUUUAGAUAAGUCACUGUUGAAAGCUCCCGGCUAAACUGGGAGAGGUGCGGUGAGACUGUCUGGCUAGAGUAUGGGAGAGGGGUGCGGAAUUCCGGGUGUAGUGGUGAAAUGCGUAGAGAUCCGGAGGAACACCAGAGGCGAAGGCGGCACCCUGGCCUAACACUGACACUGAGACGCGAAAGCAUGGGGAGCGAACGGG
rnacentral:rRNA from 1 species